GUAUUAAUUGUUUUCUCUGAGUUGUCUUUUAAAUAAGUCAAAACUUUCAACAACGGAUCUCUUGGUUCUGGCAUCGAUGAAGAACGCAGCGAAAUGCGAUAAGUAAUGUGAAUUGCAGAAUUCAGUGAAUCAUCGAAUCUUUGAACGCACAUUGCGCCCGCUAGUAUUCUAGCGGGCAUGCCUGUUCGAGCGUC
rnacentral:rRNA from 1 species